AGUUGGUACAAGGGUUGUAGGUUAUCAUUAAGUUGAUUUAACAUUGUCUCCCCCACAACCACAUUUGACUAGCUUUGA
rnacentral:Y_RNA from 1 species